rnacentral:rRNA from 1 species
UACGUAGGGUGCAAGCGUUAAUCGGAAUUACUGGGCGUAAAGCGUGCGCAGGCGGUGAUGUAAGACGGCUGUGAAAUCCCCGGGCUCAACCUGGGAACUGCAUCUGUGACUGCAUUGCUGGAGUGUGGCAGAGGGGGAUAGAAUUCCGCGUGUAGCAGUGAAAUGCGUAGAUAUGCGGAGGAACACCGAUGGCGAAGGCAAUCCCCUGGGCCUGCACUGACGCUCAUGCACGAAAGCGUGGGGAGCAAACAGG